GACGAACGCUGGCGGCGUGCCUAAUACAUGCAAGUCGAGCGAAUCAAAGGGAGCUUGCUCCCUAAGAUUAGCGGCGGACGGGUGAGUAACACGUGGGUAACCUGCCUGUAAGACUGGGAUAACUUCGGGAAACCGGAGCUAAUACCGGAUAGUUUCUUUUCUCUCAUGAGAGAAGAUGGAAAGAUGGUUCUGCUAUCACUUACAGAUGGACCCGCGGCGCAUUAGCUAGUUGGUGAGGUAACGGCUCACCAAGGCGACGAUGCGUAGCCGACCUGAGAGGGUGAUCGGCCACACUGGGACUGAGACACGGCCCAGACUCCUACGGGAGGCAGCAGUAGGGAAUCUUCCGCAAUGGACGAAAGUCUGACGGAGCAACGCCGCGUGAGCGAAGAAGGCCUUCGGGUCGUAAAGCUCUGUUGUUAGGGAAGAACAAGUAUCGGAGUAACUGCCGGUACCUUGACGGUACCUAACCAGAAAGCCACGGCUAACUACGUGCCAGCAGCCGCCGUAACAC
rnacentral:rRNA from 1 species